rnacentral:rRNA from 1 species
UACGGAGGGGGCGAGCGUUAUUCGGAAUUAUUGGGCGUAAAGGGCGCGUAGGCGGCUGGGCAAGUCAAAGGUGAAAUCCCUCGGCUCAACUGAGGAACUGCCUUUGAAACUGCCUGGCUUGAGGCCGGGAGGGGGUAGCGGAAUUCCCAGUGUAGCGGUGAAAUGCGUAGAUAUUGGGAGGAACACCGAUGGCGAAGGCAGCCCCCUGGGUUAACACUGACGCUCAGGCACGAAAGCGUGGGGAGCAAACAGG